rnacentral:rRNA from 1 species
UACGUAGGGUGCAAGCGUUAAUCGGAAUUACUGGGCGUAAAGCGUGCGCAGGCGGUUAUGUAAGACAGUUGUGAAAUCCCCGGGCUCAACCUGGGAACUGCAUCUGUGACUGCAUAGCUAGAGUACGGUAGAGGGGGAUGGAAUUCCGCGUGUAGCAGUGAAAUGCGUAGAUAUGCGGAGGAACACCGAUGGCGAAGGCAGCCCCCUGGGAUAACACUGACGCUCAGGCACGAAAGCGUGGGGAGCAAACAGG